GAUGAACGCUGGCGGCGUGCCUAAUACAUGCAAGUCGAACGAGGUGCUUUUGUAGCAAUACGAGAGUAUCCUAGUGGCGAACGGGUGAGUAACGCGUUGGUGACCUACCCCAAAGUGUGGGAUAACAGUCCGAAAGGAUUGCUAAUACCGCAUGUGGUCUUCGGAUUUAGAAACUGAUGACUAAAGGAGCAAUUCGCUUUGGGAGGGACCUGCGUCCCAUCAGCUAGUUGGUGAGGUAAUGGCUCACCAAGGCUACGACGGGUAGGGGACCUGAGAGGGUGACCCCCCCACAAUGGAACUGAAACACGGUCCAUACACCUACGGGUGGCAGCAGUAGGGAAUAUUGCACAAUGGGCGAAAGCCUGAUGCAGCAACGCCGCGUGUGCGAUGAAGGCCUUCGGGUCGUAAAGCACUUUUCUUGGGAGAUGAGCAAGGACAGUAUACUCAGGAAUAAGUCUCGGCUAACUACGUGCCAGCAGCCGCGGUAA
rnacentral:rRNA from 1 species